CCCCUACAUUACUUGACCGUUUUUGUAAAACAACAGCACUCGAGGUCUGACAGUAUUUUACCAAGAACAUGAAGAAAUGCACAAAAUAUUCAAAAAGGAAGGCCUAGAAAAUUUAAAUAUUGGACAAGAACUAUAGAAGAUACAGAGAAAUAAUAUACAGCAGAAAUGAUAGGCAAUGUAAAAUUUGCAGAAGCCAACUAAACCUAAAUGGUGAUCAGACAUCUUGGUUUUCAUGAUCAAUAGGUCAUUACUGAAGAGGAAACUUAAAGUUGAAAUUUAUUUACAUAGUGCAUAAUUGGAUUAAUUUGAAAUGGAAUGUGUGCUUUCCUGCAAAAAAGAAAUAGGAAAUUUCAACAUUAUCACAUGAUAAUGACCAUAUAAAACAGAAUGGAGUUCUAUCAUAGAUACACAAAAACACUAUUGCAUAAAAGCAACAACAUAUCUUAAUCAAAAGAAAGGAGAAUGCAGAACAAAUACUAUUUUGUAGUUGAAAAAAGGAACACCAGUUUUAUCCACUCAUUUACAUCGCUCCCUCAUAUCAAAUAUACAGAAGAAGAUCAUUGAAGAACAAUUUGCAAAAAUGAUUUCUCUUAGAAUUGAAGGGAAUUGUUUAGUGAAUGGAAUAAUGUAUUCACUGAAUUCUUACGUAGUGGAUUGAAUACAACUGUACACAAGCUGAAACAGAAGAAGUUCUAAUUUAAAAUAACAAGAAAAGUGUUUAUUUUAUUAUUUAAUCUGCAAAUAUAUAAACAAAUUCUUUAGAACACCACAAAUGAUA